GCCGGUGUGGUGGAAUGGCAGACACGCCUGACUCAAAAUCAGGUCCGAAAGGGUGGAGGUUCGAGUCCUCUCAUCGGUA
rnacentral:tRNA from 2 species